GACGAACGCUGGCGGCGUGCUUAACACAUGCAAGUCGAACGAAGAGCGACGGAAGCUUGCUUCUAUCAAUCUUAGUGGCGAACGGGUGAGUAACGCGUAAUCAACCUGCCCUUCAGAGGGGGACAACAGUUGGAAACGACUGCUAAUACCGCAUACGAUCUAAUCUCGGCAUCGAGGAUGGAUGAAAGGUGGCCUCUAAAUGUAAGCUAUCACUGAAGGAGGGGAUUGCGUCUGAUUAGCUAGUUGGAGGGGUAACGGCCCACCAAGGCGAUGAUCAGUAGCCGGUCUGAGAGGAUGAACGGCCACAUUGGGACUGAGACACGGCCCAGACUCCUACGGGAGGCAGCAGUGGGGAAUCUUCCGCAAUGGACGAAAGUCUGACGGAGCAACGCCGCGUGAGUGAUGACGGCCUUCGGGUUGUAAAGCUCUGUUAAUCGGGACGAAAGGCCUUCUUGCGAAUAGUGAGAAGGAUUGACGGUACCGGAAUAGAAAGCCACGGCUAACUACGUG
rnacentral:rRNA from 1 species